rnacentral:rRNA from 1 species
UACGGAGGGGGCGAGCGUUGUUCGGAAUCACUGGGUGUAAAGGGUGCGUAGGCGGCUUUGCAAGCCGGAUGUGAAAUCCCCGGGCUUAACCUGGGAACUGCAUUCGGGACUGCAUUGCUAGAGUAUGGGAGAGGGAAGUGGAAUUUCAGGUGUAGCGGUGAAAUGCGUAGAUAUCUGAAGGAACAUCAGUGGCGAAAGCGACUUCCUGGACCAAUACUGACGCUCAUGUGCGAAAGCGUGGGGAGCAAACAGG